GAACAGCAGCCAGCAGGCUGCCAGAGAUCCAACUGCGCCUUGCAGCGCACAGAGGGACGCGAUGGGGACGGACCGUCCUUCCUGCCAGGCAAGAGGACGGAGCCUGCGCGCCCAUGGAAUGGUGCAGGGCAAGGAGGGAAAUGGAAAGCCUCCGCUGAAGCUGAUGCAAGCUGCCUUCCAGCAAAGCGCAGCCAUGUGGAAAGCCAGGGGAGGAGCACAGAGUGUGGCACAGCACCCAAGAGAGUGACGGAUGUGCCAGAAGACAUCACGGACAUUCAGAGUUUGCUCUCUUGGAUCAAUGGUGAGUUUGGGGGCUGCAGAGCCCGCAGGUGCGUGUUUACACCGAGUGGGUGCAGUUCCUGCUGCAGCAGGAGAUAGACAUGGCCAUAGCCAACCGGUACGGCUACCCGUAACCCUGCGCUCCUUGCCGGCCCUGCAGCUCCAGGCGGCAGCUGCAGCGUUCCAGGGGCACCACCAGCGGCCCCAUCCCUCCCCUCCUGAACCCAGCCGUCCUCCACAGUCAGCAGUGCGGUGGGAUGGGACGUUGUCUGGGCGCUCAGCUGUGGUGGAAUGGGAAAUUUAGGAUUACUGUCGUUUCUGUUUCUCGUUGUAUUCUCGGAUAGGUUAUAAAAAGCUUUGUGUUUGUGUUUUGCUACGUCCCUCUGCCUGCAGUCAUUUGUGCUGUGUCACAGCCCCCCAGCUCCCCACGCCCACCUCCGGGGCAGGAUGGGGCACCACAGAUGGCCACGGUGUCCCUCAGCUGCCACCAGCAUCCCCAGCCCUCCUCUCUCCCUGCAGUCCUUUGUGCAGCGGGAUGCAGAGGACGUUUCACACAGCUCGCCUGCUCUGCCCAGUGCUGUGAAUUGCCGUG